rnacentral:rRNA from 1 species
CCUACGGGGGGCUGCAGUGGGGAAUAUUGGACAAUGGGCGAAAGCCUGAUCCAGCCAUGCCGCGUGAGUGAUGACGGCCCUAGGGUUGUAAAGCUCUUUCGCAGGUGAAGAUAAUGACGGUAACCUGAGAAGAAGCCCCGGCUAACUUCGUGCCAGCAGCCGCGGUAAUACGAAGGGGGCUAGCGUUGUUCGGAAUUACUGGGCGUAAAGCGCACGUAGGCGGACUAUUAAGUCAGGGGUGAAAUCCCGGGGCUCAACCCCGGAACUGCCUUUGAUACUGGUAGUCUCGAGUCCGAGAGAGGUGAGUGGAAUUCCGAGUGUAGAGGUGAAAUUCGUAGAUAUUCGGAGGAACACCAGUGGCGAAGGCGGCUCACUGGCUCGGUACUGACGCUGAGGUGCGAAAGCGUGGGGAGCAAACAGGAUUAGAUACCCUAGUAGUC